AUGGCGGAGGAAUCGUGGAGCAACUCCCCUCCGUCUACCAAGCAUCACUGUGGUGAGGCGUCUGGCAAGGAGCCCCUGGUGGUCGACGACGAUGUUCCGGUCCCCGGGCAGAAGCGGGACUACACCGUGCCGCUCAAGGUUGUAAUCCACCUGAAGGAGCCGCUGGAUGUCGUACGCACCAGCAAUCCAGACAAAGCCGACAAGAUGAUCCGCAAGAUGAGGAGGAGGCUCGGCGGCAUGCUUUCUCGGAAUAUCGGUGUUGAUGUCGAGUAUACCAGGGAAGACAAACCUCCGCAAAUUGCUGCAGUUCUGCAGUUAUGCGUGGAGGAUCUCGUCCUGGUAUACCACAUCACCGCGGCAACCAAAUGGCCCAAGGAACUCCGCCCGCUCCUGCAGGAGAAGAAGUUGUACACCUUUGUUGGCUUCUGCAUUAGAGGCGACAAGGAGAAGCUGAAGUUGUCUGGUUUGGAGAUCAACCCCAACAAGUACGUCGACUUGCAGCGCAAAUGGAGAGUUCCAAACAAUGGAAAGAAGUGGCAGUCUUUGGCUGAGUUUGCAGCCAGCCUCAUCCACCCGUCCUACUAA
rnacentral:rRNA from 1 species